rnacentral:rRNA from 1 species
UACAGAGGUCUCAAGCGUUGUUCGGAUUCAUUGGGCGUAAAGGGCGCGCAGGCGGUCAUUUUUGUCGAGUGUGAAAGCCCCGGCUUAACCUGGGAACUGCGCUCGAAACGGAUGACUAGAGAUCGGGAGAGGAGAGUGGAAUUCCCAGUGUAGAGGUGAAAUUCGUAGAUAUUGGGAAGAACACCGGUGGCGAAGGCGGCUCUCUGGACCGAUACUGACGCUGAGGCGCGAAAGCGUGGGAGCA